rnacentral:rRNA from 1 species
GAUGAACGCUGGCGGCAUGCCUAAUACAUGCAAGUCGAGCGAAUGGAUUAAGAGCUUGCUCUUAUGAAGUUAGCGGCGGACGGGUGAGUAACACGUGGGUAACCUGCCCAUAAGACUGGGAUAACUCCGGGAAACCGGGGCUAAUACCGGAUAACAUUUUGAACCGCAUGGUUCGAAAUUGAAAGGCGGCUUCGGCUGUCACUUAUGGAUGGACCCGCGUCGCAUUAGCUAGUUGGUGAGGUAACGGCUCACCAAGGCAACGAUGCGUAGCCGACCGGGGAGGGGGAUCGGCCACACUGGGACUGAGACACGGCCCAGACUCCUACGGGAGGCAGCAGUAGGGAAUCUUCCGCAAUGGACGAAAGUCUGACGGAGCAACGCCGCGUGAGUGAGGAAGGCUUUCGGGUCGUAAAACUCUGUUGUUAGGGAAGAACAAGUGCUAGUUGAAUAAGCUGGCACCUUGACGGUACCUAACCAGAAAGCCACGGCUAACUACGUGCCAGCCGCCGCCGUAA